rnacentral:rRNA from 1 species
UACGGGGGGGGCAAGCGUUGUUCGGAAUUACUGGGCGUAAAGGGCGCGUAGGCGGUGCUCUAAGUUAGAUGUGAAAACUCUGGGCUCAACCCAGAGCCUGCAUCUAAAACUGGAGUGCUAGAGUUCUGGAGGGGGUAGCGGAAUUCCUGGUGUAGCGGUGAAAUGCGUAGAUAUCGAGAGGAACACCUGCGGCGAAGGCGGGUUGCUGGGCCGACACUGACGCUGAUGCGCGAAAGCCAGGGGAGCGAACGGG